rnacentral:tRNA from 1 species
CGUCGGUGGUAAAAUGGAGGAAUGAUCGUCAGACACACAGACGGUCCAGGUUCGAUUCCUGGUCGACACA